rnacentral:rRNA from 1 species
AGCUCCAAUAGCGUAUAUUAAAGUUGUUGCAGUUAAAAAGCUCGUAGUUGAAUUUCGAGGGUGAUUUGGCCGGGCCUACUUGGCUUGUCUGAGUAGGCAUUCUGGAUCCAAGGGCCCUGUACCACUUUCUGGGGAGCUAGUCUACUCUUUAUUGAGUUGGGCUAGGGAGCCAGGACUUUUACCUUGAAAAAAUCAGAGUGUUCAAAGCAGGCAUAUUUGCUCGAAUACAUUAGCAUGGAAUAAUAGAAUAGGACCAUGGUUCUAUUUUGUUGGUUUAUAGGACCAAGGUAAUGAUUAAUAGGGACAGUUGGGGGCAUUUGUAUCGGAUCGUUAGGGGUGAAAUCCUUGGAUCGGUCCGAGACAAACUAAUGCGAAAGCAUUUGCCAAGGAUGUUUUCA